GCGCGGGGCGGCACGGGGACGCGCGGGGCGGCGGGGACGCGCGGGCGGCGAGGCCUGCGCGCCUGGCUGCGGGAGCCAUGCGGCGGGCGAGAAGCGGCGCGGCCGCCAAGCCACGCGUGCAGAAGCGGCCGGGAGCCUCCGGGGCCCCCGCGGCCGCCCCCUCGGCCCCCAGCGCCAGCCGCUCCCGGCGCUCCACGGGCCAGGCCGGGGGCGAGAGCAGGGCGGCGGCGAGGCAGCCGUCGGCGAAGCGGCGGCCGACGCAGUCGUCGCCGCGGGCCCAGGAGGCGGGCCCCGGGCAGCCGCCGCCGCCGGAGCUGCCUCUGCUCCCGCCGCCGCCGCCGCCGCCGCCCCCCCCCGCCUCGCCCGCUGCCUCGCUGCCCGACCUGGGCGACCAGCGGGAGCGCUGGGAGACGUUCCAGAAGCGACAGAGGCUCACCUUCGAGGGCGCCGCCAAGCUGCUGCUGGACACCUUCGAAUACCAGGGCCUGGUGAAACACACUGGAGGCUGCCACUGUGGGGCGGUUCGUUUUGAAGUUUGGGCCUCGGCGGACUUGCACAUCUUUGACUGCAACUGCAGCAUUUGCAAGAAGAAACAGAAUAGACACUUCAUUGUCCCAGCUUCUCGCUUCAAGCUCCUGAAGGGGCUCCCAAGUGCCACCUUUUGUCAGCUUCCGGUUUUGUGGGCGUGGCAUCGAACAGGCCCUCAGGGUCUGGGAGGAAAACCUGAGUGAAUGAAUGAAUGAGUGGUGGUCUUUCCUGGUUAGUGAGAUUUUUAAUCCCAGACGCUUGGGGCUUAUUUGUCUCCUUUUCUUUGUUUGCCCCUUGAUCCUUUGUGGGGGCGCCUGGGGGAGGAGGGGCACGCUGGGGCAGCACACUUCUCCGUCUUUCCCGUAAACCCGGAGAAUGCUUCUCCUCGGAAGCCUGCUGGAGGCUGUGGCCCCAGUUCAGCUUCGUCCCUGAGCACCUGUGACAGAUGGUUCCCGAAGGCGUCAGCAGGUACAGCCAUUGGCUCUUGGGUCUUGGGAUUGAUACUUUUUUCCUCCUUAGGCCUGCUGCUCGCUGCAUUUUCCUGGUGCCCUAGAGCAACAUACUCAGCCCCAGCCUGUGGAAGGAGUGAUUUUCUGUUUGUUUGAUUUUUAAUUAAGUGCAAAACCUCUUCAUUCAACAAGUAUUUCUGGGACACCCCGCAUGGCCCAGCACCGACCCACUGAAACCCAGCGGCCAACUCGACAGACAAGGCCCUUGUUCUCUUAGUUUAUGCGUUUCAGGUGGGCAGACAGAUAAAUAAGAAAAAGUCCAGGAGCAGAGAGUAUAACCACAUACACGUUCAACACGCACAAGGCGCAGCACACGUUUUGUAAGAGAUGCGGCGUUCAGAGCUUUUACACUCCCCGCUCGAACCCUGGAG